rnacentral:rRNA from 1 species
AUUGAACGCUGGCGGCAGGCCUAACACAUGCAAGUCGAGCGGAUGAAGGGAGCUUGCUCCUGGAUUCAGCGGCGGACGGGUGAGUAAUGCCUAGGAAUCUGCCUGGUAGUGGGGGAUAACGUCCGGAAACGGGCGCUAAUACCGCAUACGUCCUGAGGGAGAAAGUGGGGGAUCUUCGGACCUCACGCUAUCAGAUGAGCCUAGGUCGGAUUAGCUAGUUGGUGGGGUAAAGGCCUACCAAGGCGACGAUCCGUAACUGGUCUGAGAGGAUGAUCAGUCACACUGGAACUGAGACACGGUCCAGACUCCUACGGGAGGCAGCAGUGGGGAAUAUUGGACAAUGGGCGAAAGCCUUAUCCAGCCAUGCCGCGUGUGUGAAGAAGGUCUUCGGAUUGUAAAGCACGUUAAGUUGGGAGGAAGGGCAGUAAGUUAAUACCUUGCUGUUUUGACGUUACCAACAGAAUAAGCACCGGCUAACUUCGUG